GGAGCUAUCGUCUAAGGGUUAGGACGCCGCCCUCUCACGGCGGUAAUCGGGGUUCGAAUCCCCGUAGCUCUGCCA
rnacentral:tRNA from 1 species